rnacentral:lncRNA from 1 species
UAGCUCACAAUCACUCCUAUCAGCCCCUCAGGCUCACUCUCAGAAUAGUAUCAACCCCUCGGACUACCUCACAACGACUGAUAUCAGCCCCCAGGCUCUCUCUCAGAAUAAUAUCAGCCCCUAGGGCUACCUCACAAUCACUUAUAACAGCCUCUCGGGUUCACGCAUAGAACAAUGGGUACCAACACUCAUUGUGGGUGUGCAGACUCCAAAUGGGCCCCUUACGGCCCAGCCGCUAUAUCAAGCCACCUCGUGGCAUCAUCACUUUGCACUCGGCCUCUCAUCACUCAAGCCACCACUUGGAAUAUAAAAGUAUCUCAGGCCUUCGACCUCAUAACUCAUCAUAUCCUCACAUAUAGCCCGCGGCCUCACGUAGUCCAAAAAUUAUCACAAAAGCCUCGGGCAUUAGUAAAUCAUUAGUUCUCAUCCCAAAACAUCAUUUAGAAAUAUCAUUUAAGUUUCAAAUCUAAGUUAAACUGGAUGAGUUUGCAAAGAAGUAAAUAUCAACAGGACUGGGUUCAAAUAAUAAAUCAAAACAAUGAAGAAAUAAUGAUUAAAAUCCCCGAAGGGUUCAAAUAAUUGGCACGAAGCCCAAUAUGGCACUUAGCCCAAAUUAUGAUGAUAACAAAUAAGUCUCGGUAAAGUCAUUAAUCGGGACAGAAGAAGUCACGAUCCCUAGUAGUUAACGACCCCACGCUCAUCAUCUAGCACGUGCGCCACCUCAAUAUAGCACUACAAUAUGCAAUUUGGGGUUUCAAACCCUCAGGAUAUCACUUACAAUCAUUACUCACCUCGUACCGGCAAAAUCUCUUGCUCGCGACGCGUUUGCCCCUCUAAUCGGCUUCCAUCCCGCGUCAAAUCUAUCAAAAAUCAAAACAAAUACAUCACAAUAUGCUAAAGGAACAAAGCCCAAGCAAAAACAAUCAAUAAAAGGCACAAAUCCCAAAAUCACCAAAUUCCGAUCCCUGGGCCCACUUCUCGAAAUUCAGAAAUUUUCACAUCUACGGGUUCCUUAUCCUCCCACGAGUUCAUACAUACCAAAACUUCUAAAAUCCAACAUCAAAUGGUCCGUCAAAUCCCAAUUUAAAAAAUCCAUUUCUCUAGCCCAAACUCUUCAAUUUUCGGCUACGUUUCGAUGAAUUUCUAGGUGAAAAUGAGCUCCAACUCGCGGAUAAAAUGUUUACAAACCUUCUGGCCAGACUUGAUAUUUCCCUCGUCGCGUUCGCGACUACUGCCUCGCAAACGCGAAGCACGUCUUUCAAUUUCAACAAAUUAACCUUACGCAAACGCGAGACUAACCCUGUGAACGCGAUGCCUCAGCCUUCCUCUCCUACGCGAACAGGACAUUCCUCAUGCGAACGCGUAGAAAAACUGCUCUUGCACCCCCAAUCCUUGUAUGUGAAUGCGAUCUAGCCAAUGCGGACGCAAAGCACAACUAUCAUAUACUUCUGAGAACGUGGUCCCGCAUACACGAAUGCAAAGGAUUGUAUUCCUGCCUUCAAAUUCCUUCUUCGUGAACGCGAUGCUCUUUAUGGGAACGCAAAGGGUUAUUUCUCUGCUACACCUGAAAUGAAAAUCUGCAAGUUUUAAACUUUGAAAAUUGUCCGAUUGACCACCCGAAAGUCAUGCGAGGCCCCCGAGAUCUCAACCAAAAGAACCAACAUUUCCCCUAAAGUCUUUCAAACUUUUCCCUAUCACCAAAAUACCUGAAACAACAUCAAACUACCGAAAACUCACCGAAUUCAAGCUUAAGUUUUUAUCACAUCCGAAUGACCUGAAAUUUUGCACACAUAUCCCAAAUCACAUAAUGAAGCUACAACAACUCUCGGAAUUCCAUUCCGACCCUCGAAUCAUAAUCUCACCUAUCAGCCGAAAAUCUCAAAAAUACUAACUUCACCAAUUCAAGCCUAAUUAUACCGGACCUCCAAAACCACUUCCGAUCACACUCCUAAGUCACAAAUCAUAUCCUAAAGCUAACCAAAUCAUCGAAACUCACAUCCGAUCCCUUUAACACAAAAGUCAAUAUCCAGUUGACUUUUCCAAACUAAGCAUUCCUUAAAGAGACUAAGUGUCUCAUUUCCUAUCAAAACCACUCCAAACCAGCCCGAUCACAUAAGACACAGAUAAUGAAGCAUAAAGCAGUAGAAAAAUAAAAAAACGAAGCGGUAACUCAUGAUACUACGGGUCGGGUCGUCACAACAACCUGUACAAACUUUAUGAAUAUAUUUUAGCUCAAUGGGCUAAAGUUUUUCUUUAUAAAUAUUUGGCUGAAUACAUAGCUUAGACUUGUAUCGAUAUUCCAUUUAAACACCUAAACUAAGCCUACAAUCUAUUGGACCCCUAACAUGUGCUUUAACUGUGUCUAUUGAACAAAAAUUUCACUUAUCAACCAGAAAUCGCGAAAAUACUAACUUCGCCAAUUCAAUCCUAAUUUUACACCGGACCUCCAAUACCGAUUCCGAUCAUACUCCUAAGUCCCAAAUAACCUGACGAAGCUAAUCAAAUCAUGAAAAUUUCGAUCCGGGAUCAUAUACAAACAAGUAAAAUCUUGGUCAAACUUUUCAAAUUUAAAGCUUUCAAUUGAAACUAUUUUUUUCAAAUUCAUUCUGAUUUAUCUGAAACCAAAACCAACGAUCUACAUCAGUCAUAAUACAUUGCACCAGACAAGUCAUGCCCGAGAACUAGUGAUCAAAGUGCAAGAGCUCAAAACGACUGGUUGUGUAACGACACCUCAAAUUGCUAAUCUCGGAUCAAUACACAUUCAAUAUAGAUAUCACUGAAGGUGAACCUUCAUUUCAAACUUAAACACAAAUAUAUCUAUGUACAGGCUGCAACCAAAAUCAGUUUGUCAAAAAUAAUUACAACGCGGGAGAUAUUAAAGCUGGAUAUCCAUGAAAGUGAAGGAUGACUUUAAAGCAUUACAAACCACAAAACGUGGAAACUUAUAAAGCAAAACUUAACAUGAUCAUAACAGCCAAAUCUCAAUAGUCCAUUACCAACUUGAAUCUUUUGAUUCCUCGAACCAAAGACAACCUUAGAUUAGUACAUGUUUGACAAGUAUAUGACAAUGCCAGAAAAUAUUUUUGAGCAGUCCUAACAUGUAUAUUAGUAAGGAAUUACUUCUAAUCUAUAUGAAACUAAGUAAAAUUAAUUCUUGUUUAAGCUACACAUUUAACAUUGAAUAGGAAAACUUAAUGAAAGAAGAACUUAGUUCAGUCAUGUAGCUUAAAUAAGCAAUUAGCACACAUAGAAAGAGCUUAAAACACAUUUAUUGAUACUCAAAUUUUGUUCACAUACUUAAAUAGGUACUACGGUUGUGUAACAUAUACAUGUAACAGCAAAAAAGAACAAAAGGAAAAUAAACCUCUGAAACAAUUGGAAAGAGCAGUAGCAAGAAACUAAAUUGCAGCAGAAAACCAGUAGAAACAAAGAAACAGCAGCAAGGGAAGAUAAAGAAAAUCACACUUCAAGAACCGAGAAAGUUUUUCUACAUAGUAAUUGCUGAGAGGUGUAAUACGGUCUUCAAAAUGAAGAAAAGAAGUGUCAAUUUUCUAAGUGUAUUUUUUGUGGGUCAAGUCAGUGAGAGGAGGAGUGAUUUUAGAGAAUGUGAGUGUGUGUUGUGUGUGAGGGAGAGGGGUAUGGGAAUAUUUUGCUAGCAUCCCUAAAAAUCCGGCAAUUGGCAUCCUUUGCAACUUAUUUUGUACAUUUGUCACUAUCCUGGAAACUUCUUCUGGUUUUCAUUUUUUCUUCUCUUUUUCUUAUUUUUAUGAUUUAUCUCUUGGAGCCUAAUUUCUAAACUAAAUGGUGAAAUGGAAAACAGUCAAAAAACCUAAAAAUCAUAAUAGAAUAGUAACUUAUUUAACCGUAAACAAUGGCUUACUUAACCUAAAUAACAGUGUAAUUAGAUUUUAUACUAAAGUUGAAAUUUAGCUAAAAAUCUUAAUUAGGCCAAAACAUCUAAAAAUUUUGAAAAAGCAGAAGAAUUAUCUGGCUGGAGAAGAAAAAAGAAUAAGAACAAAACAAAAGAACUAAGGGAGAGGAUUUACCUAAUUGAAACUCGAGUAAAUCAACAAAGGAGGAAACCGACGAGCAAAAUGAGCUUCGGCAAGUAAUGAAAAUUUCACACGAGCAUUGGCUGAAAUUUCUUCACACGGCUAAUGCUAUAUGUAGCAAUUCUCAUCACACACCGAAAAAGGAGAGAAUCAACGAUCAAAAUGAGUUCUGGUCGGUCAAUAUGUAUUUGAUCGAAUUCAAACGACUAUGAGGCGAGGUAGAAAUACCCACAAUUUGUGGUAUAUAAAUAAUGGAGUCGGUUGGUUAAAGUUUUGACCUCAAAUGGGCUGAAAAACAAAAGAAAUCAGAAAGGGGAUGAAGUAGGUUAUCGGUAAAUUUGGAUUUGAAAUUCGACGGCUUUGUGAGAAUUUUUAAAAAAUUGAUCGGGAAAUAAGGUUUAGGAGGGCGUGAGGAGUGUGCGAUAUGAAUUUGGAAUGUUUUGGCGUUUCGCCGCCGCAAUGAACUGCGGACAGUAGUAAGAGACGAGAGAGAGAAAGAGAGACGAGUUAUGUGAGGUUUUUGGGGUUAGGAAGGAUCUAAUCUGACACUUAAAAAGGAGUGGAACUUUAGUUCCCAACUAUUGGAUCAUGACUAAUCCUAUGGCUGAGAAUAAAAGUCUAUCAAACGGGGUCGUUUGGCUUGAACGAGCGGCUAGACCGGGUAGGGGGUUGGGCUAGCAAUUUGGGCAAUUUUUAGGUCAAUUGGGCCACUAAAAAAUGGUUGUGGCCCCAUUCAAAAUCAAAUCAAGCUCAUUUUUUUUCUUUUUCUUGAUUAUUAAAUCUUAUAUAAUUAGUAAAAAUCUAAGUUACAGAUAUUAGAGUGUAUUGGCUUUGGAAUUAGAAAUCAGUUCAAAACAAAAUGUCAAUUUAUUUAGAAUAGAUAUUACUGCACUUAUACUUCCAUUUCUGAUACUGAAUCACGUCACAAAAAAUAGAAUUCCUCAUGUUUAAACUCCUAUUUGAUUUCAUGACUUAUUUUUCGGAUUAACAAAAUUUAAUAACAAACAAUAUAUGUUCUAAGAUUUUGGAACCUCUAGCAAGGUAACAUGCUAGUCUUCUAAUUGCUAAUCUCAAAUCAAUACACAUUCAACUUAGAUAUCACUGAAGGUGAACCUUCAUUUCAAAGUUGAAUACAAAUAUGUCUAUGUGCAGGUUGCAAUCGAAUCAGUUUGUCCAAAAAAAUUACAACACAGGAGAUAUUUGAGUUGGAUAUCCAUGAGAGUGAAGGAUUAAAUGGCUUUAUAGCAUUACAAACCACUAAACAAAAAAACUCAUAAACCAAAACUGAACUUCACCAUAGCAACCAAAGCUCAAUAGUCCUUUUCCAACUUGAAUCUUUUAAGACCUUGAACCAAAGAUAACCUUAGAGUAAUACAUGUUUGGCAAGGAUAUGACAAUGCCAAAAAACAUUCUUGAGUAGUUCUGACAUGCAUAUCGGUAAGGAAUCACUUCUAAUCAAUAUGAAACUAAGUAAAAUCAAUUCUUGUUUAAGCUACACAUUUAACAUUGAAUAGCAAAACUAAAUUAAAAAAGAACUUAGUGCUCAUGUGGCUUAAGCAAGAAAGUAGCACACCUAAAAAAAACCUCAAACACAUUUAUGUUGAAAUACUUAAAUAGGUACUACGGUUGUGUAGCACAUACAUGUAGCAGCAAAGAAGAACAAAAAGGAAAAAAAAAACUCUAAAACAAUUGGAAAGAUCAGUAGCGAGAAACCUAAUAGUAGCAGAAAACCACCAUGAAAAAAGAAACAACAGCAAGUAAAGCUAAAAAAAUCCAACUUCAAGAACCCAGAAAAUUUUUCUACUUAAUAAUUGCUGAAAAAUAUCGUCAACUUCUAUGUAAGACAAUCUUCAAAAUGAAGGAAAAAAGUGUCAAUUUUAAGACUGUAAUUUUUUGCUUGCCAAGUCUGUGAGGGAGAGGUUUGUAGCAAUAUUCUGUCAGCUUUCCUAAAAAUUUGAGAAUUGGCAUCUUUUGCAACUGACUUUGUACAGUUGUCCCUCUCCCAAAAACUUCUUCCUAUUUCCAUGUUUUCUUCCCUUUUUCUUAGUUUUGUGAUUUAUCUCUUGGGUCUAACUUCUAAACUAAAUGGUGAAAUAAAAAACAGUCAAAGAACCUAAAAAUCAUAAUAGAACAGUAACUUGUUAAACCUAAAAAUGGUAACUUAUUUUACCCUAAGUAGUAACUUAUUUAACCUAACAAACUAUACAAUUAGAUUUAUACUUAAAACUCAAAUUAAACUAACAAUCCUAAUUUGGAUAGAACAUCUAAUAUAAGGUUGAAAAAGUAGAAGAACUAUCUUGUUGGAGAAGAAAAAGAAGAAGAACAAAACAAAAGAAUUAAGGGAGAGCAUUUACCUAAUUUAAACUCGAGUAAAUCAACAAAGGCGGAAACCGACGAGCCAAAUGAGUUUUGGCAAGUAAUGAAAAUUGUCUCGCGAACAAUGGCUGGAAUUUCUUUGCACGACCAAUGCUAUACGUAGCACUUCUCAUCACAUCGGAAAUGGAGAGAAUGAACAAUCAGAAUGGGUUCUGGCUGGUCAAUAUGAAUUUGACCGAAUUCAAAUAGCUAUGAGGCAAGGUAGAAAUGCCCAUAAUUUGUGGUAUUCAGAAAAUGGAGUCGAUUGGUGCGAGUUUUGACUUCAAACGGGCUAAAAACAAAAAUAAAUCAGAAAGGGGAUGAAUUAGGUUAUCGAUAAUUUCAUAUUUGACAUUCGACGGGCUUGAGGAGGAUUUUGAAAUAAGUCGCCGCCACAAAAAAUUUACGAUGGACGGCAGACGAUGAUAAGCAAUAGGGGUGAGAGAGCGAGACGAGUUUAUUUA